rnacentral:rRNA from 1 species
AUUGAACGCUGGCGGCAUGCUUUACACAUGCAAGUCGAACGGUAACAGGCCUUCGGUUCUUCCCUGUUGGCAACGGGGGACGUAUGGCUUCGAAACGGGCCAAGAGGUGGUGAGAAAGGGAGCAAAACCGGUGCUAAUACCUAAUGUGAUCUAAGGUUGAAAACGGGGUACCGGGAAACAAAAUUUGGCCCCUGCCCUUUGGAGUGGCCGAUGUCGGAUUAGGUAGUUGGUUGGGUAAAGGCCUACCAAGCCGACGAUCUGUAGCUGGUCUGAGAGGACGACCAGCCACACUGGGACUGAGACACGGCCCAGACUCCUACGGGAGGCAGCAGUGGGGAAUUUUGGACAAUGGGCGCAAGCCUGAUCCAGCAAUGCCGCGUGAGGGAAGAAGGUCUUCGGGUUGUAAACCGCUUUUGUACGGAAAGAAAAGGCUCUGGCUAAUACCUGGGGCUGAUGACGGUACCGUAAGAAUAAGCACCGGCUAACUACGUG